rnacentral:rRNA from 1 species
AACCCGCCUACAUGAAGUCGGAAUUGCUAGUAAUCGUGGAUCAGCAUGCCACGGUGAAUACGUUCCCGGGCCUUGUACACACCGCCCGUCAAACCAUGAGAGUUGGCAACACCCGAAGCCUGUAGCUUAACCGCAAGGAUGGCGCAGUCGAAGGUGGGGUCGAUGAUUAGGGUUAAGUCGUAACAAGGUAUC